rnacentral:rRNA from 1 species
GAUGAACGCUGGCGGCGUGCCUAAUACAUGCAAGUCGAACGCUUUGUGGUUCAACUGAUUUGAAGAGCUUGCUCAGAUAUGACGAUGGACAUUGCAAAGAGUGGCGAACGGGUGAGUAACACGUGGGAAACCUACCUCUUAGCAGGGGAUAACAUUUGGAAACAGAUGCUAAUACCGUAUAACAAUGACAACCGCAUGGUUGUUAUUUAAAAGAUGGUUCUGCUAUCACUAAGAGAUGGUCCCGCGGUGCAUUAGCUAGUUGGUAAGGUAAUGGCUUACCAAGGCGAUGAUGCAUAGCCGAGUUGAGAGACUGAUCGGCCACAAUGGGACUGAGACACGGCCCAUACUCCUACGGGAGGCAGCAGUAGGGAAUCUUCCACAAUGGGCGAAAGCCUGAUGGAGCAACGCCGCGUGUGUGAUGAAGGGUUUCGGCUCGUAAAACACUGUUGUAAGAGAAGAAUGACAUUGAGAGUAACUGUUCAAUGUGUGACGGUAUCUUACCAGAAAGGAACGGCUAAAUACGUGCCAGCAGCCGCGGUAAUACGUAUGUUCCAAGCGUUAUCCGGAUUUAUUGGGCGUAAAGCGAGCGCAGACGGUUAUUUAAGUCUGAAGUGAAAGCCCUCAGCUCAACUGAGGAAUUGCUUUGGAAACUGAAUGACUUGAGUGCAGUAGAGGAAAGUGGAACUCCAUGUGUAGCGGUGAAAUGCGUAGAUAUAUGGAAGAACACCAGUGGCGAAGGCGGCUUUCUGGACUGUAACUGACGUUGAGGCUCGAAAGUGUGGGUAGCAAACAGGAUUAGAUACCCUGGUAGUCCACACCGUAAACGAUGAGUGCUAGGUGUUUGAGGGUUUCCGCCCUUAAGUGCCGCAGCUAACGCAUUAAGCACUCCGCCUGGGGAGUACGACCGCAAGGUUGAAACUCAAAGGAAUUGACGGGGACCCGCACAAGCGGUGGAGCAUGUGGUUUAAUUCGAAGCAACGCGAAGAACCUUACCAGGUCUUGACAUCCCUUGACAACUUCAGAGAUGGAGCGUUCCCUUCGGGGACAAGGUGACAGGUGGUGCAUGGUUGUCGUCAGCUCGUGUCGUGAGAUGUUGGGUUAAGUCCCGCAACGAGCGCAACCCUUAUUACUAGUUGCCAGCAUUCAGUUGGGCACUCUAGUGAGACUGCCGGUGACAAACCGGAGGAAGGUGGGGAUGACGUCAAAUCAUCAUGCCCCUUAUGACCUGGGCUACACACGUGCUACAAUGGCGUAUACAACGAGUUGCCAACCCGCGAGGGUGAGCUAAUCUCUUAAAGUACGUCUCAGUUCGGAUUGUAGGCUGCAACUCGCCUACAUGAAGUCGGAAUCGCUAGUAAUCGCGGAUCAGCACGCCGCGGUGAAUACGUUCCCGGGUCUUGUACACACCGCCCGUCACACCAUGAGAGUUUGUAACACCCAAAGCCGGUGGGGUAACCUUCGGGAGCCAGCCGUCUAAGGUGGGACAGAUGAUUAGGGUG